AGAAGGUUAGUCCAACCAAGACCUCUGAUUUCGGCUCAGAAAAUCAUGGUUAAACCCCAUGACCUUCAU
rnacentral:tRNA from 2 species